rnacentral:rRNA from 1 species
UACGGAGGGUGCAAGCGUUAUCCGGAUUCACUGGGUUUAAAGGGUGCGUAGGCGGGCAGGUAAGUCAGUGGUGAAAUCUCCGAGCUUAACUCGGAAACUGCCGUUGAUACUAUUUGUCUUGAAUAUUGUGGAGGUAAGCGGAAUAUGUCAUGUAGCGGUGAAAUGCUUAGAUAUGACAUAGAACACCAAUCGCGAAGGCAGCUUACUACACAACGAUUGACGCUGAGGCACGAAAGCGUGGGGAGCAAACAGG